UGUGUGUGUGUGUGUGUGUGUGUGUAUGUAUGUAUGUAGUGUGUGUGUGUGUGUGUGUGUGUGUGUGUGUGUGUGUGCGCAGGCGAGUGAGCAGGAUAAGGGGUUAGCUUGUGACGUAGUGCUUGGCGGAUGACUGG